GAUGAACGCUGGCGGCGUGCCUAAUACAUGCAAGUCGAGCGAACAGAUGAGGAGCUUGCUCCUCUGACGUUAGCGGCGGACGGGUGAGUAACACGUGGAUAACCUACCUAUAAGACUGGGAUAACUUCGGGAAACCGGAGCUAAUACCGGAUAAUAUAUUGAACCGCAUGGUUCAAUAGUGAAAGACGGUUUUGCUGUCACUUAUAGAUGGAUCCGCGCCGCAUUAGCUAGUUGGUAAGGUAACGGCUUACCAAGGCAACGAUGCGUAGCCGACCUGAGAGGGUGGUCGGCCACACUGGAACUGAGACACGGUCCCGACUCCUACGGGAGGCAGCAGUAGGGAAUCUUCCGCAAUGGGCGAAAGCCUGACGGAGCAACGCCGCGUGAGUGAUGAAGGUCUUCGGAUCGUAAAACUCUGUUAUUAGGGAAGAACAAAUGUGUAAGUAACUAUGCACGUCUUGACGGUACCUAAUCAGAAAGCCACGGCUAACUACGUG
rnacentral:rRNA from 1 species